UACAGAGGGGGGCAAGCGUUGUUCGGAAUUACUGGGCGUAAAGGGCGCGUAGGCGCCUUCUAAGUCGAACGUGAAAUCCCCGGGCUCAACCCGGGAACUGCGUCCGAGACUGGAAGGCUUGAAUCCGGGAGAGGGAUGUGGAAUUCCAGGUGUAGCGGUGAAAUGCGUAGAUAUCUGGAGGAACAUCGGUGGCGAAGGCGGCAUCCUGGACCGGUAUUGACGCUGAGGCGCGAAAGCCAGGGGAGCAAACGGG
rnacentral:rRNA from 1 species